rnacentral:tRNA from 1 species
GCCCGGAUGGUGGAAUCGGUAGACACAAGGGAUUUAAAAUCCCUCGGCGUUCGCGCUGUGUGGGUUCAAGUCCCCUCCGGGUACCA